rnacentral:tRNA from 1 species
GGGCGUUUAGCUCAGUUGGUAGAGCGUCUGCCUUACAAGCAGAAUGUCGGCGGUUCGACUCCGUCAACGCUCACCA